rnacentral:rRNA from 1 species
CACGUAGGGGGCAAGCGUUGUCCGGAUUCAUUGGGCGUAAAGAGCUCGUAGGCGGUUCGAUAAGUCGGGUGUGAAAUCUCCGGGCUCAACCCGGAGGGGCCACCCGAUACUGCUGUGACUCGAGUCCGGUAGGGGAGUGGGGAAUUCCUGGUGUAGCGGUGAAAUGCGCAGAUAUCAGGAGGAACACCGGUGGCGAAGGCGCCACUCUGGGCCGGUACUGACGCUGAGGAGCGAAAGCGUGGGUAGCAAACAGG